CUUCUCUGUCAUACUGGCCCACAAUAAUUUCAAGUGUCUAUUAGAGCACAUUGCUCUUGAUAUAAAAACACUAAAUAUUUUUUCUAAUCUCAGUUUAGCAAGUCCAAAUCUUAGGCCCUUGGAUGACAUCAUAACAGACAAUGGUCAUUGGAGUUAAAAAAAAAAAAAGGGGGUGGUUAAAUCAUAGAGCUAUUAACUAGCUAUGUAAUCUUGGGAAAUUUACUUAGACUCUAACAGUCUGUCUCUUAAUUUGUAAAAUGAAAAAUAUAUAACCAAUCAAUAAGAUUUUAUGGAAGAAUUAGAGCAAAUAAAUGCAAAAUGGUUAGUACAUGCAGAAUUCUCUCCCUGACCCCCUAGGGCUAGGGUCAGGGAGGAAAUGAGUUAUUAGAACAAAGAAGUUUGGAGAAUGGCCCUACAACACUGAGAUCCAGAACCCUGAAGAAGAAGCUCUGCCUGGCUGAUGCUGAUGACUCUGAUGCUCAGAGAAGAGUUCCCAGGAAGCAGGACUCAGCUGGAGUCCUGGACCAAAUGACCUUGAUUCUGUGUCCAAUAUGAGUUUGUCCAUCUCUGCCAAUACUUCCUCCACCAAACAAGGCCUAUCUUUCAGUGGAUAAAAUUAAGUAAUGGCAUAAUGCUAGAGUCUUAAAUAUGAAGGCGGUGCUGGUUAUACACAGAAAGAAUUCCUCUGAUGAACACUUGUGCCAGGCAACACAACAGCAAACCAUCCUCCUUCCCAGAACUUUGUUAUUGAGUCUUCAGAUGCUGCUAUUUUUGCCCUGGGAGAAAGAUCCAGCUUAAUCCUUUCUUGACUGGAGGGCCCAGGACAUGAAGAGUCUAGAGUCAGUGGAACACGCAAAGCUCAUCCCUGCUGGCAAUGAGCUUUAGGGAGUCACUCAAGCCAGAAAAGGCAAUUUGGACUUCAAAUUCUGCUGUCUGUCCAGCAUGGCAGUUGAGCAGCAGCAGCCAUUUGGAACCAAGAAGAUAACCUUGAGGAUAAGAUCCACAUUCUGAGAUGAGAAGCAAAAGGGGCACAAGACCAAGAGAAUCUGCAGGCUUUUAAAGCCCUUCCAACUAGAGAGGAAGACUCAAUUUGAUACUACUCAAUCAGUGAUCCAAUACUAAGAUCACGCAGUAACAAUUAUGCACUGGCUAAAAACGGAACAACUGGGGUUUUGCUGUUGAUCAUAAAGAUUUCAGAGGUUCCCACAGUCAUCACCUUCAGUCAUAGGAAACUUCUCGCCACUAAGUUUCUCCUGCGUGAAGGGAGAAAAACACACGAAGUAGGGACACGAUGACUCAGGAGUCAAGCACAUGAGAGCAGACGUCAGUUCCUCCACAUACCAGAGCUACAGAAACAGAUCAGUGACGAGUGCGACAGAAUAAGCCUCUCCCCGCCAAAGACCAAGUGUCCACAUCCUUUAACCCCGUCUUCCGUCAACCGUCCUUCAGCUAGAGUGCAAGCUGGAAAUAAUUCAAUCAAUUCAUUUGUGUGAAAUACAAUCUUUACUCCUCU
ensembl:lncRNA